rnacentral:rRNA from 1 species
AUUGAACGCUGGCGGCAUGCUUUACACAUGCAAGUCGAACGGUAACAGGCCUUCGGGUGCUGACGAGUGGCGAACGGGUGAGUAAUGCAUCGGAACGUGCCCAGAGGCGGGGGAUAACGCAGCGAAAGCUGUGCUAAUACCGCAUGUGAUCUGAGGAUGAAAGCGGGGGACCAGGCAGCAAUGUUUGGCCUCGCGCCUUUGGAGCGGCCGAUGUCAGAUUAGGUAGUUGGUGGGGUAAAGGCCUACCAAGCCGACGAUCUGUAGCUGGUCUGAGAGGACGACCAGCCACACUGGGACUGAGACACGGCCCAGACUCCUACGGGAGGCAGCAGUGGGGAAUUUUGGACAAUGGGCGCAAGCCUGAUCCAGCAAUGCCGCGUGCGGGAAGAAGGCCUUCGGGUUGUAAACCGCUUUUGUACGGAACGAAAAGGCUCUGGCUAAUACCUGGGGCUGAUGACGGUACCGUAAGAAUAAGCACCGGCUAACUACGUG